CGGCUAACUCCGUGCCAGCAGCCGCGGUAAUACGGAGGGUGCGAGCGUUAAUCGGAAUUACUGGGCGUAAAGGGCACGCAGGCGGUUAAUUAAGUUGGAUGUGAAAUCCCCGGGCUUAACCUGGGAAUGGCAUUCAAGACUGGUUAGCUAGAGUCUUGUAGAGGGGGGUAGAAUUCCAUGUGUAGCGGUGAAAUGCGUAGAGAUAUGGAGGAAUACCGGUGGCGAAGGCGCCCCCCUGGCCAAAGACUGACGCUCAUGUGCGAAAGCGUGGGGAGCAAACAGGAUUAGAUACCCUGGUAGUCCACGCUGUAAACGAUGUCGAUUUGGAGGUUGUGGUCAUGAACUGUGGCCUCCGGAGCUAACGCGUUAAAUCGACCGCCUGGGGAGUACGGCCGCAAGGCUAAAACUCAAAUGAAUUGACGGGGGCCCGCACAAGCGGUGGAGCAUGUGGUUUAAUUCGAUGCAACGCGAAGAACCUUACCUACUCUUGACAUCCAGCGAAUCCUUUAGAGAUAGAGGAGUGCCUUCGGGAGCGCUGAGACAGGUGCUGCAUGGCUGUCGUCAGCUCGUGUUGUGAAAUGUUGGGUUAAGUCCCGCAACGAGCGCAACCCUUAUCCUUUGUUGCCAGCG
rnacentral:rRNA from 1 species